rnacentral:rRNA from 1 species
GAUGAACGCUGGCGGCGUGCCUAAUACAUGCAAGUCGAGCGAACAGAUAAGGAGCUUGCUCCUUUGACGAUAGCGGCGGACGGGUGUGUAACACGUGGAUAACCUACCUAUAAGACUGGAAUAACUCCGGGACACGGGGUCUAAUGCCGGAUAACAUGUUGCACCGCAUGGUUCUACAGUAAAAGGCGGCUUUGCUGUCACUUCUCGCGGGAUCCGCGCCGUAUUAGCUGGUUGGUGGGGUAACGGCUCACCAAGGGGACGAUACGUAGCCGACCUGAGAGGGGGAUCGGCCACACGGGAAGUGAGACACGGUCCAGACGACUACGGGAGGCAGCAGAAGGGAACCUGACGCAAUGGGCGAAAGCCUGACGGAGCAACGCCGCGUCAGUGAUGAAGGUCUUCGGAUCGUGAAGCUCUGUUAUUAGUUAAAAACAAAUGCGGAAGUAACUGUGCGCGGCUUGACGGUACCUAAUCAGAAAGCCACGGCUAACUACGUG